rnacentral:rRNA from 1 species
UGGGAAUUUGGACAAUGGGCGAAAGCCUGAUCCAGCAAUGCCGCGUGUGUGAAGAAGGCCUUCGGGUUGUAAAGCACUUUUGUCCGGAAAGAAAUCCUUGGCUCUAAUACAGUCGGGGGAUGACGGUACCGGAAGAAUAAGCACCGGCUAACUACGUGCCAGCAGCCGCGGUAAUACGUAGGGUGCAAGCGUUAAUCGGAAUUACUGGGCGUAAAGCGUGCGCAGGCGGUUUGCUAAGACCGAUGUGAAAAUCCCCGGGCUCAACCUGGGAACUGCAUUGGUGACUGGCAGGCUAGAGUAUGGCAGAGGGGGGUAGAAUUCCACGUGUAGCAGUGAAAUGCGUAGAGAUGUGGAGGAAUACCGAUGGCGAAGGCAGCCCCCUGGGCAAUACUGACGCUCAUGCACGAAAAGCGUGGGGAGCAAAACAGGAUUAGAUACCCUGGUAGUCCACGCCCUAAAACGAUGUCAACUAGUUGUUGGGGAUUCAUUUCCUUAGUAACGUAGCUAACGCGUGAAGUUGACCGCCUGGGGAGUACGGUCGCAAGAUUAAAACUCAAAGGAAUUGACGGGGUCAUAGCUGUUUCCU